rnacentral:ncRNA from 1 species
CCCGCUGAGUUUAAGCAUAUCAAUAAGCAGAGGAAAAGAAACUAACAAGGAUUCCCUUAGUAACGGCGAGCGAACCGGGAAGAGCCCAGCUUGAAAAUCGGACGUCUUUGGCGUUUGAAUUGUAGUCUGGAGAAACGUUUUCAGCAACGGAUCGGGCCCAAGUUCACUGGAAAGGGAAGCCAGAGAGGGUGAGAGCCCCGUCCUGCCCAGACCCUUUCGCACCACGAGGCACUGUCUACGAUUCGGGUUGUUUGGGAAUGCAGCCCCAAUCGGGCGGUAAAUUCCGUCCAAGGCUAAAUAAGAGCGAGAGACCGAUAGCAAACAAGUACCGUGAGGUAAAGAUGAAAAGGACUUUGAAAAGAGAGUCAAAGAGUGCUUGAAAUUGUCGGGAGGGAAGCAGAUGGGGGCCGGUGAAUCGUCCCGGUCGGAUGCGGAACGGAGCAAUCCGGUCCGCCGAUCGAUUCGGGGCGUGGACCUACGCGGAUUAAGGUGGUGACCUAAGCCCGGGAUUUUGUUACGCCCGCGGAGACGUUUCUGCCUUGAUCGUGGUCUGCCGCACGCGCCUCACGGCGUGCCUCGGCAUCUGCGUGCUCAGGGCAUUGGCCUGUGGGCUCCCCAUUCGACCCGUCUUGAAACACGGAGCAAGGAGUUUGACAUGUGUGCGAGUCAAUGGGUGAGUAAACCCGUAAGGCGCAAGGAAGCUGAUUGGCUGGAUCCCUCACGGGUGCCCAGCCGACCGACCUUGAUCUUCUGAGAAGGGUUCGAGUGUGAGCAUGCCUGUCGGGACCCAAAAGAUGGUGAACUAUGCCGGAGCGGGGCGAAGCCAGAGGAAACUCUGGUGGAGGCCCGUAGCGAUACUGACGUACAAAUUGUUCGUCUGACUUGGGUAUAGGGGCAAAAAAGUUAUCAUAUUCCCAAACAGGAAAACUGGGAUCACCUGAUUUGAAAGUAGGAUAGCUUCUUCAUCAUAACUCCUAUGGGAUUUACUCAACUUCCUAGUGAUUCUCCACGACUUUAUGUAUCCAAAUCAAUCUUCUUAGAUCGCGAUUCAUCUUGGUUUGAUUAAAAUGACGAAAAAGUUGUCAUAUUCCCAAACAGGAAAACUGGGAUCACCUGAUUUGAAAGUGGGAUAUCUUCUUCAUCCUAACACCAAUGAGAUUUAUUCAACUUCAUGGUGAAAAUCUACUACUUAUUAUAUCCAAAUCAAGCUUCUUAAAUCGUGGUUCAUCUUGGUUUAUUAGAAUGACGAAAAAGUUUUCAUAUUCCCAAACAUAAAAACUAGGAUCAUCUGAUUUGAAAGUGGGAUAGCUUCUUCAUCCUAACUCCUACGAGAUUGAUUCAACUUCAUAGUGAAAAUCCACGAAUUUAUGUAUGCAAAUCAAGCUUCUUACAUCGCGGUUCAUCUUGGAUUAGUCGAAUAACGAAAUAGUUGUCAGAUUCCCAAACUUGAAAACUAGUAUCACUUGAGUUGAAAGUGGGAUAGCUUCUUCAUCCUAACUCCUAUGAGAUUUAUUCAACUUCCUUGUAAUUGUCCACAACUUUAUGUACCAAAUCAAGCUUCUUAUAUUGCGAUUCAUCCU